CAGUCGAGCGAGUUCUCGUUGAUGAUCGGUGCUUGCACCGAGAUUCAACAUGGAACGAGUGGCGGACGGGUGAGUAACACGUGGGUAACCUGCCCUUAAGUGGGGGAUAACAUUUGGAAACAGAUGCUAAUACCGCAUAGAUCCAAGAACCGCAUGGUUCUUGGCUGAAAGAUGGCGUAAGCUAUCGCUUUUGGAUGGACCCGCGGCGUAUUAGCUAGUUGGUGAGGUAAUGGCUCACCAAGGCGAUGAUACGUAGCCGAACUGAGAGGUUGAUCGGCCACAUUGGGACUGAGACACGGCCCAAACUCCUACGGGAGGCAGCAGUAGGGAAUCUUCCACAAUGGACGCAAGUCUGAUGGAGCAACGCCGCGUGAGUGAAGAAGGCUUUCGGGUCGUAAAACUCUGUUGUUGGAGAAGAAUGGUCGGCAGAGUAACUGUUGUCGGCGUGACGGUAUCCAACCAGAAAGCCACGGCUAACUACGUGCCAGCAGCCGCGGUAAUACGUAGGUGGCAAGCGUUAUCCGGAUUUAUUGGGCGUAAAGCGAGCGCAGGCGGUUUUUUAAGUCUGAUGUGAAAGCCCUCGGCUUAACCGAGGAAGCGCAUCGGAAACUGGGAAACUUGAGUGCAGAAGAGGACAGUGGAACUCCAUGUGUAGCGGUGAAAUGCGUAGAUAUAUGGAAGAACACCAGUGGCGAAGGCGGCUGUCUGGUCUGUAACUGACGCUGAGGCUCGAAAGCAUGGGUAGCGAACAGGAUUAGAUACCCUGGUAGUCCAUGCCGUAAACGAUGAAUGCUAGG
rnacentral:rRNA from 1 species